rnacentral:misc_RNA from 1 species
AACAUCGCGCACCUGCGGGAACCUGCGGAGGGAUCAUUACAGAGUUCGUGCCCUCGCGGGUAGAUCUCCCACCCUUGUGUAUUCCUUACAUUUUGUUGCUUUGGCAGGCCGUUGGUUCGCCAACCACCGGCUCUACGGGCUGGUGCGUGCCUGCCAGAGGACCCCCCAAACUCGGUUUGUUAGUGUCGUCUGAGUAACCAUAACAAUCGUUAAAACUUUUAACAACGGAUCUCAGAUCGG